UACGUAGGGUGCGAGCGUUGUCCGGAAUUAUUGGGCGUAAAGAGCUCGUAGGCGGUCUGUCGCGUCGAUCGUGAAAACUUGGGGCUUAACCCUGAGCUUGCGGUCGGUACGGGCAUGACUGGAGUUCGGCAGGGGAGACUGGAAUUCCUGGUGUAGCGGUGAAAUGCGCAGAUAUCAGGAGGAACACCGGUGGCGAAGGCGGGUCUCUGGGCCGAUACUGACGCUGAGGAGCGAAAGCGUGGGGAGCAAACAGG
rnacentral:rRNA from 1 species